AAGGUUUUAGCUUAAUUAAAGUGUCUGAGUUGCAUUCAGAAGAUGUGAGAUAGAGUCUUGCAAGCCUUA
rnacentral:tRNA from 1 species